rfam:Wild cucumber mosaic virus replicase protein gene, partial cds; and virion protein gene, complete cds.
UAAUUGAGUCCAGUGACUCUCCCUCUAGCACACAGAGGUCAAACCGGGUGCAACCCCCCCUCCCCCCGUAGGUUAACGGGACCA